CGGGGCGUAGCUCAGACUGGCAGAGCGUCAGCUUUGGGAGCUGAAAGUCGCUGGUUCAAAUCCAGUCGCCCCGA
rnacentral:tRNA from 1 species